UUGAAAUCUGGCACCUUCGGUGUCCGAGUUGUAAUUUGAAGAAGGUAACUUUGGAGUUGGCUCUUGUCUAUGUUCCUUGGAACAGGACGUCACAGAGGGUGAGAAUCCCGUGCGAUGAGAUGCCCAAUUCUAUGUAAAGUGCUUUCGAAGAGUCGAGUUGUUUGGGAAUGCAGCUCUAAGUGGGUGGUAAAUUCCAUCUAAAGCUAAAUAUUGGCGAGAGACCGAUAGCGAACAAGUACAGUGAUGGAAAGAUGAAAAGAACUUUGAAAAGAGAGUGAAAAAGUACGUGAAAUUGUUGAAAGGGAAGGGCUUGAGAUCAGACUUGGUAUUUUGCGAUCCUUUCCUUCUUGGUUGGGUUCCUCGCAGCUUACUGGGCCAGCAUCGGUUUGGAUGGUAGGAUAAUGACUAAGGAAUGUGGCUCUACUUCGGUGGAGUGUUAUAGCCUUGGUUGAUACUGCCUGUCUAGACCGAGGACUGCGUCUUUUGACUAGGAUGUUGGCAUAAUGAUCUUAAGCCACCCG
rnacentral:rRNA from 1 species